rnacentral:rRNA from 1 species
UACAGAGGUCCCAAGCGUUGUUCGGAUUUACUGGGCGUAAAGGGUGCGUAGGUGGCGGGGUAAGUCUGGUGUGAAAGCUCCGAGCUCAACUCGGAAAAGCAUUGGAAACUAUUCCGCUAGAGGGUCGGAGGGGAGACUGGAAUUCUCGGUGUAGCAGUGAAAUGCGUAGAUAUCGAGAGGAACACCAGUGGCGAAGGCGAGUCUCUGGACGACUCCUGACACUGAGGCACGAAAGCUAGGGGGGCAAACAGG